rnacentral:misc_RNA from 1 species
GAUGAAGAAGUAGCGAAAUGCGAUAAGUAAUGUGAAUUGCAGAAUUCAGUGAAUCAUCGAAUCUUUGAACGCACAUUGCGCCCAUUAGUAUUCUAGUGGGCAUGCCUGUUCGAGCGUCAUUUCAACCCUUAAGCCUAGCUUAGUAUUGGGAAUCGACUUUACUGUCGUUCCUCAAAUUCAACGGCGGAUUUAUAGCAAUCUCUGAACGUAGUAAUUUUUUUCCUCGUUUUUGAAAUACUAUAAACCUCAGCCGCUAAACCCCCAAUUUUUCUAUGGUUGACCUCGGAUCAGGUAGGAAUACCCGCUGAACUUAAGCAUAUCAAUAAGCGGAGGA